rnacentral:lncRNA from 1 species
CCUAAUUUAUAGUAAAAAAUAUUAUUAUAAUAUAUAGCUUAAACGUAAAUAAUUGAUGCAUAACGAAUUUAAUUAUGAGCGGAAACCUAAUGGGGGGGAGGAGGGGGGAGAAACAGUAUACAAAUAUUGUGAAUAGGUACAAACAUAUAGUAAAAUAACUUAAUUAUGUACAUAUCACAAUAACAAUACUUUUUUUGUUUUGAAAGUUUUUGAAGAUGUGAAACAAGGAAAAAUGUCUUCAAAAAGAUAAAAAAAACUAAAAUACAAUGCGAAAGCGAGGUAGUGCACGAAAUUAAUUAUUAUUAUUCAUCACUUUUACGAGUAUAAAAUAAAAAAAUUAAUUUUAAAAAAUACGGACAACCAACAAGAAAUAAUAAUAUGGAAAAAAAAACAACGAGAAAUUUGUGUGUCAAUAAAUAACAUAAUAAUUAAAAUGAAAGAAGACACACGUAAACGAUGUUUGUUGAUGAGAAAUUUGGUAUUGUCGUAAAAUAAUUAUUAUAUAUUUUGCUGUUUGAUUGUAUUUUCGCUUAAAAUUAAUAAUUGACUGUUCCUGAUUGUCUUCUAAUUCGAUGAUAUUAAUAACCCACCUACCGGGAAAUAAUCGCAAAGAGUUAUUGUAUUUCAAUGUGUCUGGAACUCUUAAAACUCGUGAAAUUGACUGUAGGAGAAAAACUAUAAAAAAAUCGGAUUUUCCGAAAAUUAUUGGACUCCUGUCGUGUAUCAUAAUAUUCGUAAAAUUUACCGCCUGUGUGGUUUUUUUUUUUUUUUUUAUCUCUUUGUGGAAGUAAAUGGGCGCGUUUUAAAAACUGAAUUCGGUCGACAUUGCGCGCAGAUGAUGCAAACGAGUUGCGUCUUGGGUCCCGCAGUUUUUGGUUUCGUUGCACACGAGUUGAAUUAAUUUCAUGUCGACGAAAAAUAAUCUUGUGUACAUUUUGUAUUGCAUGGUGCAUUUUAACGUCGCGAAUUUCGAGCGUGCAAUACAAUGGAGCAUUUAAAAAUUUCACCAAACACGCAUUAUAAAUAAUGAUAACUAAUUAAUAUACUCGCAUUUACACUUGAAAAUUAAUUAUUCGUUAUUUGCGAGUUUAUGACUUAUGCGGUAUAAUAGUUUUGCUUAAUGUUUUAUUAUGUUGCUAAAAUAAAAACAUUUAUAUUGCCAUUUUUUUUUUCCAGUAAACACGUUCUGAUAAAUUGAUAAAGAAAAAAAUUUAAAAAAUGUUAAAAAUGUAUGCGUGUCAAGAACGCGUCGAGCAUUCUUUCAAGGGAUGGGGAUAUUGAAAUGUAUCCAAUACCGAGCGCAGUCUAUGGUUCUAUACAUUAUAGUGCCUACACUAACGUUUCAUUAUAUAGUACGCUCAAAAUAGGGGCGGGCCAAAUGCCCUAUUAUCAUCCCUCCCCUCGGGUCCACUACCGGCGUAUUGUCGGGAACCAACACACUCGUGCAUUCUUUUGUUUUACGAUCGGACGAAACACGUGUACUGGUAAUUCAGUCGGGACGCAACUCGUCAACUGCGCGCGCAAGUACCUACAAAACUAUGUACUUUGGGCUGGUGGUCAGGGUUUAUAGGAAUUUGGACGUCCUUCCUGGUUCCCUGGUUUAU